rnacentral:tRNA from 4 species
GGUUCCGUAGUACAAUGGAUAGUAUUUCAGAUUCCGAUUCUGAAGAUGCAGGUUCGAUUCCUGCCGGGACUACCA